rnacentral:misc_RNA from 1 species
GAGAAAAUAAGUGUAGAAAAGAAAUUUAAUUUUUUUUUCUUAAAAAUGAAAGCGUAAUUUAUUAUAAUUUGCUAAUAAAGAGGAUGUAGUUAAAGGGAAAGUAUUGAAGAGAAAAGCGUAAAUGAUGAAAGGAAAUUUUACCUCAAAAAAUAUAAAGGAUAAAUAAGAGAUUUUAUAUUAUUGAAAACUCUUUGAUUCAUAUUAAUUGUGAAUCCACUUGAUCCCUCAACCAUGAUCU